GACGAACGCUGGCGGCGUGCUUAACACAUGCAAGUCGAACGGAAAGGCCCCUUUGGGGGUACUCGAGUGGCGAACGGGUGAGUAACACGUGAGUAACCUGCCCUUGUCUUCGGGAUAACUUCAGGAAACUGGGGCUAAUACCGGAUAGGAAUCCUUGCUGCAUGGUGGGGGUUGUAAAGCUUCGGCGGUUUUGGAUGGACUCGCGUCUUAUCAGCUUGUUGGUGGGGUAGUGGCUUACCAAGGCUUUGACGGGUAGCCGGCCUGAGAGGGCGACCGGCCACAUUGGGACUGAGAUACGGCCCAGACUCCUACGGGAGGCAGCAGUGGGGAAUAUUGCACAAUGGGCGGAAGCCUGAUGCAGCAACGCCGCGUGCGGGAUGACGGCCUUCGGGUUGUAAACCGCUUUCAGCAGGGGCGAAGCUUGUGGUGACGGUACCUGCAGAAGAAGCACCGGCUAACUACGUG
rnacentral:rRNA from 1 species